GACGAACGCUGGCGGCGUGCUUAACACAUGCAAGUCGAACGGUGACGGAGAGCUUGCUCUCCUGAUCAGUGGCGAACGGGUGAGUAACACGUGGGCAACCUGCCCAGACUUCGGGAUAACGCUUCGAAAGAGGUGCUAAUACCGGAUACGAGCUCCUUGGGCAUCCUUGGAGUUGGAAAGUUUUUCGGUCUGGGAUGGGCCCGCGGCCUAUCAGCUAGUUGGUGAGGUAACGGCUCACCAAGGCGACGACGGGUAGCCGGCCUGAGAGGGCGACCGGCCACACUGGGACUGAGACACGGCCCAGACUCCUACGGGAGGCAGCAGUGGGGAAUAUUGCGCAAUGGGCGAAAGCCUGACGCAGCAACGCCGCGUGAGGGAUGACGGCCUC
rnacentral:rRNA from 1 species